rnacentral:rRNA from 1 species
AUUGAACGCUGGCGGCAUGCUUUACACAUGCAAGUCGAACGGUAACAGGGUGCUUGCACCGCUGACGAGUGGCGAACGGGUGAGUAAUGCGUCGGAACGUGCCGAGUAGUGGGGGAUAACGCAGCGAAAGUUGUGCUAAUACCGCAUACGUACUGAGGUAGAAAGUGGGGGACCUUCGGGCCUCGCGCUAUUCGAGCGGCCGACGUCUGAUUAGCUAGUAGGUGAGGUAAAGGCUCACCUAGGCGACGAUCAGUAGCGGGUCUGAGAGGAUGAUCCGCCACACUGGGACUGCGACACGGCCCAGACUCCUACGGGAGGCAGCAGCGGGGAAUUUUGGACGAUGGGCGAAAGCCUGAGCCAGCCAUGCCGCGUGUCUGAAGAAGGCCUUCGGGUUGUAAAGGACUUUUGUCGGGGAGGAAAUCCCCAGCGUUAAUACCGCUGGGGGAUGACAGUACCUGAAGAAUAAGCACCGGCUAACUACGUGCCAGCAGCCGCAGUAAAAC